UAACGCGUGAGGAACCUGCCUCAAAGAGGGGAACAACAGUUGGAAACGACUGCUAAUACCGCAUAAGCCCACGACCCGGCAUCGGGUAGAGGGAAAAGGAGCAAUCCGCUUUGAGAUGGCCUCGCGUCCGAUUAGCUAGUUGGUGAGGUAACGGCCCACCAAGGCGACGAUCGGUAGCCGGACUGAGAGGUUGAACGGCCACAUUGGGACUGAGACACGGCCCAGACUCCUACGGGAGGCAGCAGUGGGGAAUAUUGCACAAUGGGGGAAACCCUGAUGCAGCGACGCCGCGUGGAGGAAGAAGGUCUUCGGAUUGUAAACUCCUGUUGUUGAGGAAGAUAAUGACGGUACUCAACAAGGAAGUGACGGCUAACUACGUGCCAGCAGCCGCGGUAAAACGUAGGUCACAAGCGUUGUCCGGAAUUACUGGGUGUAAAGGGAGCGCAGGCGGGAAGACAAGUUGGAAGUGAAAUCCAUGGGCUCAACCCAUGAACUGCUUUCAAAACUGUUUUUCUUGAGUAGUGCAGAGGUAGGCGGAAUUCCCGGUGUAGCGGUGGAAUGCGUAGAUAUCGGGAGGAACACCAGUGGCGAAGGCGGCCUACUGGGCACCAACUGACGCUGAGGCUCGAAAGUGUGGGUAGCAAACAGGAUUAGAUACCCUGGUAGUCCACACUGUAAACGAUGAUUACUAGGUGU
rnacentral:rRNA from 1 species